GUGAGCGCUACGGUUUUACACAAAUCGGGGAGCCAGUUCCAGAUAAUGUCACAUUAAAAGAUAUCAUGGACACACUGCCUAAAAAGGUUUUCGAAAUUGAUGAUGCAAAAGCGUGGAAAUCAGUUAUAGUAUCUGUUACUUCUUAUGUGUUGGGAAUAUUAAUGAUAGCAAAGGCUCCCUGGUACUUGCUGCCUUUGGCAUGGGCAUGGACUGGCACGGCAGUGACAGGGUUUUUUGUGAUAGGCCAUGAUUGCGCUCACAAAUCGUUUUCGAGGAACAAGUUGUUGGAGGAUAUCGUUGGUACCAUUGCCUUUUUACCGCUUAUAUAUCCUUACGAGUCUUGGCGUUUUAAGCAUGACAAGCAUCAUGCAAAAACAAACAUGUUGUCAGAAGAUACUGCUUGGCAACCGGUUUUAAGAGAAGAAUUUGA
rnacentral:misc_RNA from 1 species